UGACGUCAAAUCAUCAUGCCUCUUAUGACCUGGGCUACACACGUGCUACAAUGGUUGGUACAACGAGUUGCGAGUCGGUGACGGCGAGCUAAUCUCUUAAAGCCAAUCUCAGUUCGGAUUGUAGGCUGCAACUCGCCUACAUGAAGUCGGAAUCGCUAGUAAUCGCGGAUCAGCACGCCGCGGUCGAAUACGUUCCCGGGCCCUU
rnacentral:rRNA from 1 species